AAAAAAGGUGCCAUCAGACGCCGUGCCUCCAGAGCAAACGAGGAGAUAGAGGGGCCCAUUCUCUUCUUUUUUG
rnacentral:tRNA from 1 species